rnacentral:rRNA from 1 species
UACAUGUGGGGCAAGCGUUGUUCGGAAUUACUGGGCAUAAAGGGUGCGUAGGUGGGCAAGUAAGUCAGUGGUGAAAUCUCCGGGCUUAACCCGGAAACUGCCAUUGAUACUAUUUGUCUUGAGUACUGUGGAGGUCAGCGGAAUAUGUCAUGUAGCGGUGAAAUGCUUAGAUAUGACAUAGAACACCAAUUGCGAAGGCAGCUGGCUACACAAAUAUUGACACUGAGGCACGAAAGCGUGGGGAUCAAACAGG